AUUGAACGCUGGCGGCAUGCCUUACACAUGCAAGUCGAACGGCAGCACGGGAGCAAUCCUGGUGGCGAGUGGCGAACGGGUGAGUAAAGUAUCGGAACGUGCCCAGUCGUGGGGGAUGACGUAGCGAAAGUUACGCUAAUACCGCAUACGAUCUAUGGAUGGAAGCGGGGGAUCGCAAGACCUCGCGCGAUUGGAGCGGCCGAUAUCAGAUUAGGUAGUUGGUGGGGUAAAGGCUCACCAAGCCGACGAUCUGUAGCUGGUCUGAGAGGACGACCAGCCACACUGGGACUGAGACACGGCCCAGACUCCUACGGGAGGCAGCAGUGGGGAAUUUUGGACAAUGGGCGAAAGCCUGAUCCAGCCAUGCCGCGUGCAGGAUGAAGGCCUUCGGGUUGUAAACUGAUUUUGUACGGAACGAAAAGGUUUGGCCUAAUAAGCUGAGCUCAUGACGGUACCGUAAGAAUAAGCACCGGCUAACUACGUGCCAGCCGCCGCGGUAAAAC
rnacentral:rRNA from 1 species